ensembl:lncRNA BCAR4 breast cancer anti-estrogen resistance 4
GAUUCUUCUGCUCAGUUAGUGCUGGGAAACAGUGCUAAGAAGGAUACAGUGGCUAGAAGUCGUCCUGUCGUCCUGCCUCACAGUAACAUCGUUACCGAAUUCUCAGCAGGUGAACCAAAUGAAAUGGUCAACUGAAAGCCAACCAGGAGGGUGUCUGGCUGUUUUGGGGAAACUAUUCCUGACCUUAUUUUGACUAAAAAGUUGCCUGCUGUACCAGGGUCUUGUCCUGUCACUCUGGCUGGAAUACAAUGGCGUAAUCAUAGCUCACUGCGGCCUCCAUCUCCUGGGUUCAAGUGAUUCUCCUGCUUCAGCUUCCCAAGUAUCUGGGACUACAGCAAAAAAUCACCAUGUACCAACCUAUCCAAACUUAUCCAUGGAUGAAUCUAUCCAGAAGACGGGAGUUCCGAUGCUUGUCUUGCUCUGAAUGUCUGCUUGUCACCUGCUUAGGGUUAUCGACUGUGAUUCUGGGACUCAUUGUUGUUCUACAGGACCCCUCUGACUCUGUGGUUUUCUCUACUGGAUUAACAAUGAUAGCCAUAGGUGCUUUUUUUGUUGUCCUCACUGGAGUGACAGCCCUGUGUACGGUUACAGUCGACGAGAACUUGCAGAAAACCACGAGGCUAAGACUAGGAGUGAUACGAAAAAGCGGAAGUCUCCAAGGAACUACAGAGCCUUCCAUGACUCACUCAAUAAUCGCUAGCACCUCGCUGUAGUUGUACAUUGAACCCUGGCAUCUUCGUCUUUGGAACUAAGUCUCCUGAGCAUUGUUUUUAAAUAGAAAUAAAAUCUGG